GCUGGAAGAUGUUGAUCAUUUAUUACAAAAAUAAACGAAUAAAUACAACAAUAUAUUGUUGCUUUACGACAGGAUAAAUAUUUUACAAAUAUAUAAUUUAAAAAAGCAGAUUUAAUUGUUAAAAUUAUUUAAAAUAUUACAACUUACGGAUAAAAUUAUCAAUAGUAUAUACUGCAUUUCAUAGUAGAACCGAUUAUUCUCUAAGCGUUCCAUUGAAAACCAGUCAUACAAAACAAGUUUUGAGCAUCGUCAUGUGCAAACACGAGCCACUACAUUAAAGCAUAAGGAUUCUGGAAAGAUCACUUUCCUAGAGGAACCGCUGCGUUUUUAAACCAAAGUAGAGCUCCCUGCUAAAUUCCAAGAGAUACGCAGACCAACGGCAGUGAGAUGGCUGUUUUCAAUACACCUGAAAAUGAUUUCUUGUGUACAGGCUCGACGGGGGAAGGAUGGGAUGGGAGGGAGUGAGGAGACUGGGGACCACAGGAUAUGAAAAUGUAAACUAUAAAUAAGCACAUCUCGGGAUUACCCAGACUGAUCAAACAGAACUUUGUAAAACAUUUGGCUUUCCUUUAGGCAGAACAGCAGAAAGAAAAAAAAAAGGGGGUGAGAAAAAAAAGGGAGUAAGGAAAAUGAUGCCGACUCAAUUACCAAGCACAGAACACUGAUAUUAGAAAUGAACACAAUUACUAAAUUCAUUAAGAGAUCUGGCGAUAUAUAACAAUAUUUUCAUUAUUUACACGUGUAACCAUAUAACCCUUAGCGCAAACCCUCUCAGUGAUUAUCUACCUCUCGUUAUCUCACAGCUUCACAACCCUGAAAUUCCUAAAUACAUUCAAAGGGUUCCGUUUCUCGGGGAGUGGGGAGGGGGGGUAGAGCCUCUGGCCUCACUUUUUAUGCGUGACAGGUCCACGGAACGGGCACGUUUCGCCGGUCCCACCGACCGAAGGUUGCCUUGUAAUAGAAACCAGUGUGAAGUCUCACGUUGGCUCUUUGUUGUCAACCGAAUCGAGGAACCAAAUACCGCUCCGAAAUUUAAACAGCCCUUCUCCCCGCCUAAUAAACCGCUCCUCUUCACGCGUGGAAAAGAGGAUCCCACCUCCCGCCUUAACGGGGCCCGGCGCUCCCCCCCCCCCCCCCCCCAGCAGCGACAUGAGCCGGCAGCUUUUGCUAAAACGAACAAAAGAAAGACCGUCCUUUACCCUUUCGGGGUUUCUUUCCCUUUGUUGGGUUGGGGUUUUUUUCCCCCUUCCCCCCUCCCCUUUUUUCCCUCCGUGUCAGUGGGGCCUUUCGGAUUUCACAAAUCAAACCGACGGUGAUAUUUUACUACGAGCUGGUGGUAAAAUAACGCAUCCCGGCGCCAGGCUCUCAGGUUGCCUUUGAUUUAUGGACUGACACAAGGCCUAAUCUGAAAGGAAGAAAUGUUUGUUGUUCCUACAGCAGUUUUCGGGGGGUUUAACCCCCUGCCUCAAUAGCACGUAGAGUAAAUGGGGAGGACGAAGGGAAGGAGAGGAAGGUGAAGAAGGAGCCACGGGCGAGAUGGACCAUAAAUGAAAAUCUUAUUCUCCGGUAGAUUAUCGGUGGGGGCGGGUGGAGGCGGGAGGUGCAGCUCUGUAGUUCCCACAACCUCCCCGCUUGAAAAUGAAGAGAGCGGAGACGGUGGUUCACUUGUCCCUAUAUCGCAAUAAAUUAUAGCAGAUAAAUCUGACAGGCAGGUUUAGCGCAUCCACCGGCAUCUCCAACGUUACCAGCACACGCGUGUGUUUGCAAAGGAGGUAUGGCAGCGCUGAGGCAGGGUGGGGGAGAAAACUACACUACAACACUUCACACCCCAUAGAAAAACCCUAAACCAACAACAGCAACAACAACAGCAACAGCAACAACAGAAACGGUGAACCAGGCGGACCGCACGUAGGACGGGAUAAAGUAUUAUUCUAGUGGAAGAAAAAAAAAAGUAGCUUCUUAAAUUAUAAAUACAAAUAUUUAUACAGACAUAAAAUGCGUCAAAAUAAAUUAUGGCCUACCCCCCCACCUCCCCUCGCCCUUCGCCUCAGUUUGAAAAGAGGGCAACCAAGAACGAACUUUUGGAGCCAGCCCUGCUCCGGGCACCGGCCCUUCCCGGGCCCUGCCGGGCCAGCCUAACCCGCCCCGCACGGCCCUCUCUGCGGCAAGGGGGGCUUUCAGCAUCCCUAAUGUCGCCUUCCUUCCCCACGGCGGGGGGGCCCUGCGCUGAUGGAGGAGACCACGGAGAUGUGCCGGCCGGGCAAGGAGGGGAUGAAGGGGGAUAGCCCCUGGGGUACCGGAGGGAAGGCGACACUGCCCGGGCGAGCGGCUCAGACCCCCCCAUUUUCCUCUCACUUCAUCAUUUGCAAUAUUACCCUUCAGAGAACUUUGUGUUUUUUUCGACACAGUGUUUAUGCAUCAGACACAGACUAUUUCAUUCUAACAAAUUUAUUUUCUCAAUCAGCUCUUACGGAAUCACUACUCAAAUUAAAUUACAAUCAAAUUAUCACAUCAAAAGAUACCCUUAUUACCUAACAACUGUCCAUAUUUUCAUUUCAUUUUGAUUUGUGCUCGUCUGAAAAAAACACGUAAUACAAGAUCUGGGGAAAAAAUAAAUUACCGUUUUGCAGCAGUUCAUAGGUAUUCUGAAUAAAAUAUUAAAAGAAGUCAUUUAAUGAAAAUAUAAAGCAAAUUUUUUUUUUUUUUCUUUUUUUAGAUCAACAACGGAUCUAACAAUUCUAUAUUGCCGUCUUUUUGAAAAGUCUGUUUAUUAAAACCUACCAAAAACACUGCUUGGAAAUGGCAGUAUUAUAUAAUCACAUCCACAGCACCCAUUCAAUCAAAGUUGGCAACGGAUUUAGGAGAGGAGAAGUUCAGAUAAGUGCAGCUGCAGAUGCUCAGUCCUUCUAAAUCCCUUUAUCUGAAUCAGUCCAGAAAUAAAAAAUAAAAAUAUUAAUAAAAAAAAUAUUAGCAGUGGAUUUUUUUUUUUUUUUUAUGACUCUUCCAUGAUGAUUGGCAGCCGUCAGGAGCAGGACUUUGACAGCCCUAAAUUAUUUCCCUUUCUCUCGCUGGUUCCCUUAAUUCAUGCAAAGUCCUUCUACAGAGCUCGAACUUUAGGGACCAACAACCUCUCCUUCUCCCACCCUCCCCCCGGCGUCCGUCCCUCCCCCCCUUUUCUCCUCAGGGUCAGUUUUUCGGCAUGAGGGCGUUUAUUUCCAUAUUUUUUUGUUCUAUAGCUAUACCUAUAUAUAUAGAUAAAUAUAUAUAUAUGUAUUUGCUUCCCUAUGCAGUCUGCUUGUUUUUAGUGCUGUGUGCAUAUUUUCUUUUCCUUUUUUUUUUUUUUUUCUUUUUUUCCUGGAAAAAGUGGCCCCUUUCAUUUUGCAGAAUAUAUAGAUAUAUAGAUAUAUAUGUUUUCAGAGUGGAUGUCUGCCUUGCACCAAAAUCCUACGGUUUGGCCAAGAAAAACAGGGUGCUGGAAUGCAGCAGGCACCCUCUGAUUAACCAGAUUAUUUUGCUUCUGCUUCCCUAUUUUUCUUUUUUGAUUGCUCCCAUUCGGAAAAAAAAAAAAAAAAAAAAGGGAGAGAAAAAAAAUUAAAAAAGGAAAGAAAAGGGGAAAAAAAAAAAGGAAGGAGAGAGAAAGGAGAAAAAAAGUUUCCGUGAUUCAUAGAAGAGAGCCCUUUUGGGGAUAGGGGGGAGAGUGCGGGGGGGGGGGGAGGAGGGGAGAGAAGAGGCGCAGACACCAGUGGUGCUCCUUGCUGCGAGAGGGGGCUAAUUUGGAGAGUGAAAAUACAAAUAAAAAUAAUAAUAAUUAAAAAAUAAAAUUAAAAAAGAAGCUUGAGCCCACCCGCCUAAGCCCUCUCCCCACAGCCACCCCCCCGGGCACAGCUGCAGUUUUGGUGCAUUACGCUUCUCCACCCCGCUUUCCCAACGCGGUCUGAACGCUCUCGCUCGGAUCGACCCUUCUCCACCGCUCCCUAUCGGUAUCGAUCUUAUAUAUAUAUAUAGAUAUAGAUGCACGCGUCUAUCCAUAUAUAUAUAAACACAAGCAGUCUGAACGAGCCUGGAUCGUGUGUGUGUGUGUGUUUGUGUGUGUGUGUGCGUGUGUGUGAGUGUGUCCGGGUGAGCGGGCGGCUGUGCGCGCCGGUGGCGGUGGCUGUGCCCGUCCCGGCCCCCUCGCCCCCCGGCCCGCCCGUCGGUGCCCCUCACUGCACGCUGGCCUGCAGUCCGUGGUGAGGAGGCGGCGUGUCGGAGUUGACGGUGCCGACCUGGGAGUAGACAUCAUCGGGGGUCUGCUGCUGGAUCCCCGGGGGGGUCAUCCGUUUCUCUUUCUGCCUCCGAUUGCAAAACCAAACCCUGACCACCUCCUUCUCCAGCUGCAGGCUGUCCGCUAGGUUCGUAAUCUCCUGGGCGGAGGGCUUGGGGCAUUUCAGAAAGUGGCUCUCCAAGGCCCCCUUGACACUCACCUCGAUGGAGGUCCUCUUCUUCCUCUUCCUGCCCUGGGCGGCGAUCUUGUCGAUGCUGGUGGGGCUGCCCGUGGAGGAGUCGGCUUCCUCCAGCCACUUGUUCAACAAAGGCUUCAGCUUGCACAUGUUCUUGAAGCUGAGCUGCAGGGCCUCGAAGCGGCAGAUGGUGGUCUGCGAGAAGACGUUGCCGUAGAGGGUGCCCAGCGCCAGCCCCACGUCGGCCUGGGUGAAGCCCAGCUUAAUCCGCCGCUGCUUGAACUGCUUGGCGAACUGCUCCAGGUCGUCCGAGGUCGGCGUGUCCUCGUCCGAGUGCGGGUCGUGGCUGUUGACGCCGCCGUGGUGCGGCGGGUGGUGGCCGGGGUGCUGGUGGUGAUGGUGGUGGUGGUGCCCGGGGUGCUCGCCUAGCUCCGGCGUCUCGCCGCGCACCAGCCCCGGGUGCACCAGGCUCUGCCCGCCGGGGGGGGGGCUCAGCAUGCCGUUCACCGUGAAGCCCCCGGGCUGCGAGUAGAGGAGCGACUGCUGCUGCUGCUGCCCGCCGGCCAUGGAGGGCAGGUGGGCGGCCGCCGCCGCGCCCCAGGCCGCCGGGUGCCCCUGGUGCGGGGGGCCCAGGUGGGGCGGCCGGUGGUGCAGCGCCGCGCCCGAGUGCAGGUCGUCGCGCCCGCCGCUGCCCUUGACGUCGGGCGGCGGCGGCGGCUGCUGGGGGCUGCCCGUCAUGCCCACGGGGCUGCCGGACCAGGGCGAGCCCGCUUCGGCGGCGGCGGCGGCAGCGGCGGCGGCGGCGGCGGCGGCGUGGGGCAGG
rnacentral:lncRNA from 1 species